rnacentral:lncRNA from 1 species
UAUUAUGAGGCGGCCGCAAUAAUCGAAAUACUACCGAGAGGUUUUCUGUCCACAGGUGCUGCGUCGCCCUAUUUUGGCCCGAUGGGCCGUGUAUCAAGUUGGGUCCAUUAGGGACGUGUCCUAGGGUUGGAGCACGACCCCAACACCCCCCUGGUCGUCCUCCUAGGUAUUAAUAAGGAUUAGAGCCGCCACGAACAGAUUGGGUUUUGUUUUGUUAAAAGUUUAGCCAUUGCUACUUCCUUGUAGACGCGUGUGUCGACUAGACCAUCCGUUCUACUCGAUUCAGAACCCCAACUUUGUGAUUUCAGAUUGGUUUUUCAUCUCCAUAUUUGCAAUUGAGUUGCUUGUUCUACUUGUUCUUGCUUGUUCUUCGAUUGCUUGCAGGACAAGUGCCCUAGUGGCCGGGUGACGCGCUCCACAAGAUCGCGGCAGCCAUUGGAGGUGGUGUAUCGGUUGCUAAGGCGCAGCUUGGAAGGCUGUAGUCGGGCCGUGAACGUCGUCUCCAUCCACCAAUCGAGUUAUCCCACGCCUCUCAUCGAAAGAUCGGGAAUCAACCCUAGCGGGUUCAUAUCAGUUGGUAAUCAGAGCAAGGUUUAUCGGUGAGAGACUUCUAGUUCUUUGCUGUUUUUAAUUUCCCAUAGUCCAGAAAAAGCCAAAAAAAAAUAGUAGAUUAGUUUACCCGCAAUCCUAUAAACCCUUUGAGCCUUUGCUAGCACUGCUUAGUUAGGGCUUGUUGAGUUUUUGGUUGCUUCGGUUGUGUUGAGUUGCUGGUCUUAGUUUUAGUCCUUUAGAGUUUUGAGUUCUUGUCACGUUCCAGUCACAGCCGUGUGCUACCGUAUAAAACCUUCUGUUGGCUGAAUCUGAAUACAUGUUUAUAUUCAAGUCUGAGUCCUACUUCGAGUUUGUUUAAGAUCAAAUCCCACGUGGUGCUGAGUUCAAGUUGGAAUCGGUUUGGAGUCCGAAUUGACAGCUGCCCUGUUGCUGUCUUGAGUCCAAAUCUGAUUUCUAUCCUUUCGGAAAAAGUUUGUGUGGUGUGUGACUCUUGUGAAGUCCUUUUGUUCAUAUAAUCAGAUUUGAGGAUCCCCUGGAAAAAAAAAAGAAGAAAAAAAAACAGAAGAAAAAAAAAAGGAAAAGAAAGAUAAAAAAAAACAGGAAGAAAAGGGGCUGUUCGUUGUGCUUCCCUAUUGUUUUCCGGUGGUGUGUUGUGAUUUCCUUUGUGUCCAGGCUCGCGUCUCUAGCACGGUCUAGGCUAGGACCAGCACAGUACCACCGUUGAAUGAUUACUCAACUUGCUUUUGUGACUAACGUGGUGCUAGUAUAUUUCCUUGCUUAAGCCCACCUACAGCUCCACAUAUUCGACUACAGCUUGACAGGUUUUUUGUUGCUGCGGCACCGAUACACUUCACUCCACGGUUGUAGACUUGUUGGUUGCCGUCACCUCCUGUUUGGCUUGGUAAGAACUUGUAAGGGCUUGUUUUUACAAGUUGAGUUUGAGAGAAUUACAACUGACACAUCCUAGUAGUUGACAGGAGGAUACAUAUUAUUUUUGUGUUUCGUUUUCUACUAAUCAUGGCAGGUGAUACGAAGAUUUUUGAGCUGUUGAAACUAGACUCUCAUAUUCAAGAUGUCAUUCAACACUUGCCGUUAUAUGAUGGUAAGUUUGAUCCUAAAGCUUACAUUGAUUGGGAGAUAAAAGUAGAUAAUGAAUUUGAUGAGCAUGACCUAUCCGAGAAACAAAAGAUUUAUAUUGCCUCUAAUGUUUUGACUGAAUAUGCUUUGCUUGAAUGGAAACGCAUUUGUAGGCACAACAAAGUUCUAGAAUCUUGGGAAGACUUCAAAUUUCUUUUUAGAGAUGCAUUCAUUCCUGAAUAUUAUGCUAAUUAUUUGCUUGCAAAAUUAGACAACUUGAGGCAAGGUAGUAGGACUGUGAAAGAAUACUUCCAUGAUUUUAAAAUUUGUAUCAUGUAUGGUGGAUUAGAUGAGUGCAUGGAAGAUGUUAUGUGUAGGUUCAUGAGAGGGCUCAAUUCUGAAAUUCAAACCUUGUUGCUAAGCAAAUCAUACGUACAUAUUGGUCAAUUGUUUUGCCUUGCUCUCAAUGUUGAAAAGGAGAUUCUAUUAUCUGUGAAUACUUGCAAGAAUGAUGUGACCCAUUAUAUCCAAAAUUUGUCCACUCUCCAUGCUAAUGAAGAGCAACAAAUAGUGGAACCCAUUGCUGAUUUUCCUUUGUCACAAAAUGAAUUACUUGUUGUUCCUUGUGAUAAAGAGGACUUGUGUGCUGAUGAUUCUUUUACUCCUAUACCACAAGUAGUGAAUAAGUGUGAUAUUUUUGGUUUGGAAUCAUACAAAUGUGCUGAAGAUAAGCUUUUUCAUCCUAUUACUUGUGCACAAGAUGAACUGAAUUUGCUAUCCUCUUUAAAUACUUUGGGUUACAUUGAAUUUGAUGUUUUGUGUAAUCUAAAUUGUCUAAAAGAGAAACUUCAAUUUGAUUCUGGUUUGCCAAGCUUUAAUCAUUGUUCGCUUCAUGCAAUUGGCAAAUACGACAGCAAAGGAGAAUAUUUGGUGCAUAAAGUUUAUAUUUCCUCUAAUCUGAAAUAUCGUUUUGGGCAACAAUACCAUGAUCAAAUAGAGGGCUGCACUAACACUAAUAAUGUCUUGCAAAGUUUUUCUAGUUUUUCCCAUAUGCAACAGGGUAAGACCAAAGAAGGGGAGCAUUACUCGUUAUGGCCAUGCAGCAUGGCCGUCACUCCGUGCUCCAACAUCAAAACAAGCACCUUAGAAUGCCACUGGAGCAAGUCGAGGACGACUUGCAGCCAAGAAGGGGAGAAUGAUGAGGACAUCACAUGUUCGGAUACAACCAUAUUAGUAUCUUUUGACUCCGAGGUGAAACAAUUCUUUAUCAUAAUUAUAUGUGAUACAUUUGAUGAAUUGAUGCUGCACCAUGAUGUGUAUUCGUUGUCAAUUUCAGAAAUACAUACAUGGAUCAAAAAUAGUGUUAAACACACAUGGAAGGCAUGGAGGACCAAAGAAGUAGAUUGGGGACCAAGUCCAAGUAUUCCUAACAUCCUCCACCAGGCCACCACGUCACUUUUGGCCCAAGGAAAGAAAGAGAUCCAAUCCAACACGUUUUGUUGCUGGAUUCGGACUACAGUUCUGGCCCAAAUUGCAACGACCGCCACGACCUCAUCCGGACUCCGUUUUGGGCGUUCAAGUACUCCUUGGAAUCCUUAUGAAGUCUAUUUUCAUAUGGAUCCGGACUCAUGUCCAUAUCUAUUAUGAGGCGGCCGCAAUAAUCGAAAUACUACCGAGAGGUUUUCUGUCCACAGGUGCUGCGUCGCCCUAUUUUGGCCCGAUGGGCCGUGUAUCAAGUUGGGUCCAUUAGGGACGUGUCCUAGGGUUGGAGCACGACCCCAACACCCCCCUGGUCGUCCUCCUAGGUAUUAAUAAGGAUUAGAGCCGCCACGAACAGAUUGGGUUUUGUUUUGUUAAAAGUUUAGCCAUUGCUACUUCCUUGUAGACGCGUGUGUCGACUAGACCAUCCGUUCUACUCGAUUCAGAACCCCAACUUUGUGAUUUCAGAUUGGUUUUUCAUCUCCAUAUUUGCAAUUGAGUUGCUUGUUCUACUUGUUCUUGCUUGUUCUUCGAUUGCUUGCAGGACAAGUGCCCUAGUGGCCGGGUGACGCGCUCCACAAGAUCGCGGCAGCCAUUGGAGGUGGUGUAUCGGUUGCUAAGGCGCAGCUUGGAAGGCUGUAGUCGGGCCGUGAACGUCGUCUCCAUCCACCAAUCGAGUUAUCCACACCUCUCUCAUCGAAAGAUCGGGAAUCACCCCUAGCGGGUUCAUAUCACCAGCCCGGCCCCAUCACAGGUGGGACGCCGGCCGUCGAGCCGCGUCACCGCCUGCCGCGCCCUGUUUUGGUGCGGGGAAGAAGAUGGAGCUGGCGCCAGGGGCCUGCACGUUAGAAGAAGAGGGGGAAUGAGUAGGAGGGCCGAUGGGUGGUUUAGAGAGAAAGAAGUGGGCCGGUUUAGUAGGCCCAGGUGCCAGGGUGGAGGGAAGGAAGGCAGGUGGGCUGGUGGGCCGGCGAGUAGAAUAGGAAAGGGGGGGGGGGGAACUAGAAUCGGUCCAGCAAGCCCGGCAAGAGAGAGGUGGGCUGGCAGAUAAAGAAGAAAGGGGAAGUAGAUGGACCAGUGCCGCGGGCCUAGUGCGAGUGAGAGAGGGUAGAGAGGAGGUGAGUGAGAAAAUUUUGGGCUGAGGGUUUAGGGAUAAAUCUUAGGUUUUUCUUUUAUUCGAUAAAUAGAUUAAAUCGGUUCUCACCAUUUAAAUCACAAGAAUUUCUAGGAGUCUCCAAAAUUAGCGAAACCAAUUUUUCUAGGAUUGUUUUAUUUUCCUUUAUGCAUUAAAAUUCUUAUACCUCAGGAAAAAUAAUAAAAUUGAGGUAUUUGUUUAAUGCCUUUUCAUUAUUUAAAUAAAUACUUAACCUUUAUAAAAUACAUAAAAUAUUGAAUAAUGUGUUCAUAUUCACAAAUUAUUAUUAACCCAUAGGAGUUAGAUUUUGAGAUUAGGAAAUAUUUAUAAUGUUUUUUGAAAAUAAAACAAAAGGCCUAAAGUAGGAUUAG